CAGGAUCCACAGGGGUACCAGAAUGAUAGCGAUGCCACAAGGGAUGAUAAUGGCCAGAGCCCAGCCAGGAAAACCUCCACUUGUGGUAUUGAAAGGAGUGGUCAGCAAAAGAGUAGGAGGUGGUGUGGUAGCUUCUACAGUUGUCGUUGUGGGUGCUGCUGUUGUGGUGGUUGUAGCAGCUAUAUUUGUGGUUGUUGUAGCAGCUUUCGUUGUGGUUGUCGAAGGAGAUGGAGUUGUGGUUGUUGAAGGACCUGCCAUUGUAGUGGUUGUAGGAGCUACAGCUGUUUUAAUUAAUGCAGCAUUAUCAUCUGCAGUUGUAGGAGCUGCAGAUGCAGUUGUAAGAGUUGCAGCUGUAGGAGCUGCAGUUGCACUUGUAGGAGCUGCAGUUAUCAUAGUAGCUGCAAUUGUGGUUGUUCUAAGAGCUGUAGUUGUUGUCGUAGUAGAUGCUGCAGUUGUAGGGGUGGUAGGACCAAUGGUUGUUUUAGUAAGAGCUGAAUUGAUUGUCAUAGCAGCUUUUGUGGUGCUGGUUGAAGGAGCUACAGUUAUUGGAGUAAGAGCUUUAGUUGUUGUUGUAGGUAUGGUAGAUGUAGUGGUUGUAGCCGCAACAGUUGCUGUAGGAGCAACAGAUUUCAUUGUAGGUGCGGCUGAUGUAGGGGUCAUAAGAGCUAAAAAUGUUAUAGUAGGAGGUGCAGUUAUGGUUGUAGCUUUAGCUGCAGUUGUGGUUGUUGUAAGAGCUGCAGUUGUAGUUAUUGUAGCAGGUGCUGCAGUGGUUGUCGAAGUAGGUGCUGAAGUUGUAUUGAUCAUAGGAGCUACAGUUCUUGUUAUGGGUGCUGCUGUUGUAAUGGCCAUAGUAGGUGUUGUGGUUGUCAUAGGGGCUUCAGUUGUAGUUAUUGUAGCAGGUGCUGCAGUGGUUGUCAAAGUAGAUGAUGCAGUUGUAGUGGUCGUAGGAGCUACAGUUGUUGGCGAAGGAGCUACAGAUGUUGUUGUGGUUAUCGUAGGACCUUCAGUUGUCGUUGUAGGUGCUUCUGUUGUUGUGGUCGUACGAUCUAAAGUUGUUGUAGUAGGAGCUGCAGUUGUGGUUGUCAUAGGAACUGCAUUUGUCAUUGUCGUAGUAGGUGCUGCAGUUGUCGUUGUCGUAGUAGGUGCUGCAGUUGUGGUUGUCGUAGUAGCUUUAGUUGUAGUUGUAGAAUUAGGUGCUGCAGUUGUGGUUGUCGUAGUAGCUUUAGUUGUAGUUGUAGAAUGUGUUGCAGUCGUAGUGGUUGUAAGAGCUACAGUUGUUGUAGUAGGAGCUGAAGUGAUUUUUGCAGUAGCUGCUGACGUUGUAGUGGUUGGGGAUAUAUUUGUUGUCAUAGAAGCUACAGUUGUUGUUGUAGGUGCUGCAGUUGUGGUUAUCGUAGGAGCUUCAGUUGUAGUUGUUAAAGUAGGUGCUGCAGUUGUAGUGGUUGUAAGAGCUACAUAUGGUUUAGGAGUGUCAAUUGCAGUUAUUUUAGCAGAUGCUGCAGCGGUUGUCGAAGUAGGUGGUGUAGUUGUGGUCGUAGGAGCUACAGUUGUUGCACUUGGAGCUACAGUUGUGGUUGUCGUAGGAGCUACAGUUGUGGUUGUCGUAGUAGGUGUUGUGGUUGUCGUAGUAGGUGUUGUGGUUGUCGUAGUAGGUGGUGUGGUCGUCGUAGUAG
rnacentral:lncRNA from 1 species